ACUUGUGUAGGAUAGGUGGGAGGCUUUGAAGCAGAGACGCCAGUCUCUGUGGAGCUGUCCUUGAAAUACCACCCUGGUGACUUUGAGGUUCUAACCCAGACCCGUUAUCCGGGUCGGGGACCGUGCAUGGUAGGCAGUUUGACUGGGGCGGUCUCCUCCCAAAGAGUAACGGAGGAGUUCGAAGGUUACCUAGGUCCGGUCGGAAAUCGGACUGAUAGUGCAAUGGCAAAAGGUAGCUUAACUGCGAGACCGACAAGUCGAGCAGGUGCGAAAGCAGGACAUAGUGAUCCGGUGGUUCUGAAUGGAAGGGCCAUCGCUCAACGGAUAAAAGGUACUCCGGGGAUAACAGGCUGAUUCCGCCCAAGAGUCCAUAUCGACGGCGGAGUUUGGCACCUCGAUGUCGGCUCAUCACAUCCUGGGGCUGUAGUCGGUCCCAAGGGUAUGGCUGUUCGCCAUUUAAAGUGGUACGUGAGCUGGGUUUAAAACGUCGUGAGACAGUUUGGUCCCUAUCUGCAGUGGGCGUUGGAAGUUUGACGGGGGCUGCUCCUAGUACGAGAGGACCGGAGUGGACGAACCUCUGGUGUACCGGUUGUUUCGCCAGAAGCAUAGCCGGGUAGCUAAGUUCGGAAGAGAUAAGCGCUGAAAGCAUCUAAGCGCGAAACUCGCCCAAAGAUGAGACUUCCCUUGUGGUUUAACCAUACUAAAGAGUCGUUCGAGACCAGGACGUUGAUAGGUUGGGUGUGGAAGAGUGGUAACACUUGAAGCUAACCAAUACUAAUUGCUCGUGAGGCUUGACUCU
rnacentral:rRNA from 1 species